UAGAUAAUGCCCACAAUGGUUCUUAGUUUUAGACGUGUUUUGGUGUGCUUGAAGUUUUGUUCCGAUUGAAACCGUCCAAAACUGAGGCCGAUUGUGAGGUAAAAGCGUCCAAA
rnacentral:pre_miRNA from 1 species